GAUGAAGAACGUAGCGAAAUGCGAUAAGUAAUGUGAAUUGCAGAAUUCAGUGAAUCAUCGAAUCUUUGAACGCACAUUGCGCCCGCCAGCAUUCUGGCGGGCAUGCCUGUUCGAGCGUCAUUUCAACCCUCGAGCCCCCCCGGGGGCCUCGGGGUUGGGGGACGGCACACCAGCCGCCCCCGAAAUGCAGUGGCGACCUCGCCGCAGCCUCCCCUGCGUAGUAGCACACACCUCGCACCGGAGCGCGGAGACGGUCACGCCGUAAAACGCCCAACUUCUUAGAGUUGACCUCGGAUCAGGUAGGAAUACCCGCUGAACUUAAGCAUAUCAAUAAGCGGAGGA
rnacentral:misc_RNA from 1 species